UCAGAGAUGUCAGAAAGUUAGAUAUGUAGGGGAUGUCAGGAGAUGUCAGCAAACGGUAGCAGAUGUCAGGGGAUGUCAAGAGAUAUCAGGGAAUGUAAGGAGAUGUUACAGGUUGUCAGCAUUUGUUAGUUAACGUUAGUAUACAUGAGCAGGUGUCAGCAAACGUCAGCAAGUGUUAUCUGAAGCCACCAACGUUAACAAAUGUCAGCAAAUGUCAGUAUACAUCAGCAGGUGUCAGCCAACAGUGUCUUGCCCUAACUAAAUAAAUCAUUAUAAUUUU